GCGCAAUGGGGGAAACCCUGACGCAGCAACGCCGCGUGAGUGAUGAAGGCCUUCGGGUCGUAAAGCUCUGUCAGAGGGGAAGAAAUGCAGGGGUGCUAAUAUCAUCUUUGCUUGACGGUACCCUCAAAGGAAGCACCGGCUAACUCCGUGCCAGCAGCCGCGGUAAUACGGAGGGUGCGAGCGUUGUUCGGAAUUAUUGGGCGUAAAGCGCGUGUAGGCGGUUUGGUAAGUCUGAUGUGAAAGCCCCGGGCUCAACCUGGGAAGUGCAUUGGAAACUGUCAGACUUGAAUACGGGAGAGGGUAGUGGAAUUCCUAGUGUAGGAGUGAAAUCCGUAGAUAUUAGGAGGAACACCGGUGGCGAAGGCGGCUACCUGGACCGAUAUUGACGCUGAGACGCGAAAGCGUGGGGAGCAAACAGGAUUAGAUACCCUGGUAGUCCACGCCGUAAACGAUGAGUACUAGGUGUUGCGGGUAUUGACCCCUGCAGUGCCGCAGCUAACGCAUUAAGUACUCCGCCUGGGAAGUACGGUCGCAAGACUAAAACUCAAAGGAAUUGACGG
rnacentral:rRNA from 1 species